rnacentral:rRNA from 1 species
GUCUAUGGCCCUUGUACCCUGAACAAGCCCGAUCCCGUCUGAUCUCGGAAGCUAAGCGAGGUCUGGCCUGGUUAGUACUUGGAUGGGAGACCACCUAGGAAGACCGGGUCUGUAGGCA